UACGAAGGGGGCUAGCGUUGUUCGGAAUUACUGGGCGUAAAGCGCGCGCAGGCGGUCUUCCAAGUCAGUGGUGAAAGCCCGGAGCUCAACUCCGGAACUGCCAUUGAAACUGUGAGACUUGAGUACGAGAGAGGUGAGUGGAAUUCCCAGUGUAGAGGUGAAAUUCGUAGAUAUUGGGAAGAACACCGGUGGCGAAGGCGGCUCACUGGCUCGGUAACUGACGCUCAGGCGCGACAGCGUGGGGAUCGAAACAGG
rnacentral:rRNA from 1 species